rnacentral:rRNA from 1 species
UACGGAGGGUGCAAGCGUUAUCCGGAUUCACUGGGUUUAAAGGGUGCGUAGGUGGGCAGGUAAGUCAGUGGUGAAAUCUCCGGGCUUAACCCGGAAACUGCCAUUGAUACUAUCAGUCUUGAAUACCGUGGAGGUAAGCGGAAUAUGUCAUGUAGCGGUGAAAUGCUUAGAUAUGACAUGGAACACCAAUUGCGAAGGCAGCUUACUACCCGAAUAUUGACACUGAGGCACGAAAGCGUGGGGAUCAAACAGG